ensembl:rRNA 5S_rRNA 5S ribosomal RNA
AUCUACAGCCAUACCACCUUGACCAUACCCGAUCUAGUCUGAUCUCAGAAGCUAAGCAGCAUCAGGCCUAGUUAAUAUUUGGAUGGGAGAUGGCAAGACUUUCCUUCCACUAGGAACGUCAGAAUGAGGCUC